rnacentral:rRNA from 1 species
CUUUGGUGGCGACCGGCGCACGGGUGCGUAACGCGUAUGUAACCUACCUAUAACAGGGGCAUAACACUGAGAAAUUGGUACUAAUUCCCCAUAAUAUUCGGAGAGGCAUCUCUCCGGGUUGAAAACUCCGGUGGUUAUAGAUGGACAUGCGUUGUAUUAGCUAGUUGGUGAGGUAACGGCUCACCAAGGCAACGAUACAUAGGGGGACUGAGAGGUUAACCCCCCACACUGGUACUGAGACACGGCCCAGACUCCUACGGGAGGCAGCAUG